UACGGGGGGGGCAAGCGUUGUUCGGAAUUACUGGGCGUAAAGGGUUCGUAGGUGGCCAACUAAGUCAGACGUGAAAUCCCUCAGCUUAACUGGGGAACUGCGUCUGAGACUGGUUGGCUCGAGGGCAGGAGAGGAACGCGGAAUUCCAGGUGUAGCGGUGAAAUGCGUAGAUAUCGGGAGGAACACCGGUGGCGAAGGCGGCCUUCUGGACGGAUACUGACGCUGAGACGCGAAAGCGUGGGGAGCAAACAGG
rnacentral:rRNA from 1 species